GGAAGGAUCAUUGCAGAAUUCAACAUAUGCGUCAGCGUAUGUGGUGACAGGAGCGCUAGCGAGUGUCACAGUGUGGCAUGAGCGAAUGCGACUGUCCAUUCAUCCUGUUGAACCAUGCUUUUUGCCUUGGCUUUUAUUGGUUGGCCUUGUUCGAGACCGAGCGAAGCGAGCCAGCAAAAGCAAAAGCAAAAAAAAAAUACUUAUAUACUCUAUGAUACACUAUGCAUAACAUACAAUGAGAAACCACUUUUAACAAUGGAUCUCUUGGCUCUUGCAACGAUGAAGAACGCAGCAAAAUGCGAAACGUAUUGUGACAUGCAAUCUUUGUGAAUCAACGAAUUUUCGAACGCACCUUGCACCGACAGGCACGCGUCUGUCGGUAUACUUGUUUGAGCAUCGCAUCCUCGUCUGUCAUGUACACUGAUGUGUGUGUGACAGGAGUUGGCUGGCGCGCUAUUGUGCCCGGCCCAAAGACAGCGGGCGAAGCGCACGCACAUGGGAUAGGCAGCGGCUGUGGCCGACGCAACAUGGGCGUGUGUGCCGCACCCGUACGUGGUGUGAUGUUGGAGGUGGGUGUGGCAACACAUUCCACCCCCGACCACGCACACCACACAUUCAAACACGAUCUCAAAUCAAGUAGGACGACCCGCUGAACUUAAGCAUAUCAGUAAGCGGAGGAAAAGAAACUAACAAGGAUUCCCCCAGUAACGGCGAGUGAAGCGGGAAAAGCUCAAAUUUGAAAUCUGGCACUCACAAGGUGUCCGAGUUGUAUUUGCAAGGCGCAGCAUGUGGGCGGAGCCGUGCUUAAGUACCCUGGAAAGGGACACCGCAGAGGGUGAGAGUCCCGUGCGGCACGGCGAAGCGUAGUGCAAUGGUGCGCCGACGAGUCGGGUUGUUUGGGAAUGCAGCCCAAAAUGGGAGGUACAUUUCUUCUAAAGCUAAAUAGCGGCAAGAGACCGAUAGCGAACAAGUACCGUGAGGGAAAGAUGAAAAGAACUUUGAAAAGAGAGUCAAACAGUGCGUGAAAUUGUUAAAAGGGAAACGCUCGCGGCCAGUGGUGUGUGCCCCCGUCACGCAGACAGCAGUGUGCGGCAGUGGGGGCGCGCAGGUGGGCAGAGGUGCGGAUCGGCAGAGAAGACGCGAGGCAAGGUGGCGCUGCAUGCAGCCGCACUAUAGGCGCGCGGGAUGUGGCGAGCCGCACCUUUGAGCCAGCAAUGGCGGCGCACAGGAAAUGGCCGUGAGCGACCCGUCUUGAAACACGGACCAAGGAGUCCAACAAGGAUGCGAGUAUUCGGGUGGCAAACCGGGAUGCGCAAAGAAAAUGAGGCGUGGGAGCGCUGCGAGGCGCGCACCAUGGGCCGGCCGUGCCCGCCAUGGGCAGGGCUGCGCUGCAGCAUCGCUGUUGGGACCCGAAAGAUGGUGAACUAUGCCUGAAUAGGGUGAAGCCAGAGGAAACUCUGGUGGAGGCUCGUAGCGAUUCUGACGUGCAAAUCGAUCGUCGAAUUUGGGUAUAGGGGCGAAAGACUAAUCGAACCAUCUAGUAGCUGGUUCCCUC
rnacentral:misc_RNA from 1 species